GACGAACGCUGGCGGCGUGCCUAAUACAUGCAAGUCGAGCGGACUUUCAAGAAGCUUGCUUUUUGAAAGUUAGCGGCGGACGGGUGGGUAACACGUGGGCAACCUGCCUGCAAGACGGGGAUAACUCCGGGAAACCGGGGCUAAUACCGGAUAAUAUCUUCCUUCGCAUGAAGGAAGGUUGAAAGGCGGCGCAAGCUGCCGCUUGCAGAUGGGCCCGCGGCGCAUUAGCUAGUUGGUGAGGUAACGGCUCACCAAGGCGACGAUGCGUAGCCGACCUGAGAGGGUGAUCGGCCACACUGGGACUGAGACACGGCCCAGACUCCUACGGGAGGCAGCAGUAGGGAAUCUUCCGCAAUGGACGAAAGUCUGACGGAGCAACGCCGCGUGAGCGAAGAAGGUCUUCGGAUCGUAAAGCUCUGUUGUCAGGGAAGAACAAGUACCGUUCGAACAGGGCGGUACCUUGACGGUACCUGACCAGAAAGCCACGGCUAACUACGUG
rnacentral:rRNA from 1 species